rnacentral:lncRNA from 10 species
UGAGGACACUGAAGAAGGAGUGAGCAGACAAUAAGAAGCCCACAGAAGACAGAGAAGGAACAACUAGAGGGAGAAGCCAAGGCAGGCAUGUGUGAUAACAUAUAGGAACUGAGGGAGAGGACAUUUCAAGAUGGAGGGGAUGCCAUACAACAGGACUAUGUGAUGGUUUUUGGCUGUGUCCAUAGGAAGUCACAACAGGCAAGGGAAAGAAACCAGAACCCAGUCAUGGAGUUAAGAAGUGAGUCAGAGAGGAGAUGGGUAGGGACAGUGAGGUAAGGCCUCUUUCUAAGGAAGUUUGGCUGAAGGAUAGACUAGCUGGACACAUGCUGGCUGUGUGGGGUAGAGGGAGGAAUGAUGGAGGGUAGGAGAGCCUUGAGCCUGCGAGAAGAGUCUCCUAGAAUAGAGAAGCUGAGGUUAAAGUUGUGGAAGACAGUGGGGAUAACUGAGUGACAGAUAAUCAGGAGAAGAAAAGGAGAUCCAGAAUCAUGACAGAGAGAUGACCUUUGCCAAGAGCACAGCCAUCUUUCACUGUCACAGAGAGGUAGGACAAAACGAUUGGUGUUCAAGAAUUGGUUUGUAGCACAAUAUUUUAACUAUGUCCUUUAAAAAGUUUCUCCACAGACACUACCCAAAGCAGUCCUUCACUACAGUGGCAGACAGACCUGAAAAUUUUCAUCUGAAGCAGCAGAGUGAACUGCAGAGUCAGGUCACCAACCAGUGUGGAGGCUAAAAGCGGGCCUCUUUGGGGAUUCCAGGUGGAAGUGUUGGACAUCUGUAGUAUUCCUGGUCUCAAAUCAUCCUGAUAUUCUUCAUUUUGUUAUUCACAUUGGACUAGGCAGGAACAAAGAUCACCACAACUGGCUCCCCUUCAACUAUGUUAGAUGGCAACUUGCCUUCAGUAUGGUGAAACACAUCAGUUAAGACUGGGGUUGUGCAUGGCAGGACUUUCUACAAGGACACCCAGUCUCCUUAAUAAACAUGAGAUGCUCUCUUUCCAGAAGUUCUCUUGCCUGACACAGCAUAGGAAGAUGCUGAACGGCCACACAGUGACCCAUUGAGAUAGAAUCUCACUAUGUUGACCAGGCUGGUCUUGAACUCUUGGCACCCAAGCGAUCCUUUUGCCUGGAAUCCCAAAGUGUCAGAUUUACUGAAGAAUAUUUCAUUGUAAUUACUUUUUAUACUUUAUAGGUCAAGAGCUCUGUUUUAAAGACAAAAUUUAUUGAAUAUACUUUUUCAAACAAAGUUUCAUGUUCUAAUCAUUGUCUGAUUUCAGCAUUAAAUGAAACACAGUAAAGAAAGUUGG